AAUUCAUUUAUGUUAGUAAUUUAUCUAUUAGAUAAAAUUAACUAUUUUAAUAAUUUUCUUUCAAAAGAGAGCAAUGUGAUCAUUUUGAGUAAACUCAAAACUUUUACUAGGAUGGUCAUUUAUGAAAUUGUAUAUAUGUUUUUAGAUUUUGUUUUUUAAUAUUUCACUACUUAUUUUUAAAAUGGGCUUAAUUAUUUUUUUUAAGAAAACUUUUUAUCGUCAUAUAUAUAUAUAUAUAUAUAUAUAUCCCUUAUUUAGAAAUGGGACUUGGGUAAGGACUAACACAACUUUAAAAAUUGAUACUAAAAACAUUUAAAGUUGUACUAUAAUAUUUCCUUAUUUAUAAGUGGGACUUGGGUUGAGACUAACACAACUUUAAAAAUUGAUACUAAAAGCAUUUCAAUUAUAUAUAUAUAACUUAUUUAUAAGUGGAUCUUGGGUUGGGACUAACACACCUUUAAAUAUUGAUACUAAAAGCAUUUCAAGUAUAUAUAUAUAUAGCUCUUAUUUAGAAGUGGGACUUGGGUUAGGACUGACACAACUUUAAAAAUUAAUAUUAAAAGCAUUUCAAGCUGUAUUAUAAUAUUUCCUUAUUUAGAAGUGAGACUUGGGUUGGGACUAGCAACUUUAAAAAUUGAUACUAAAAGUAUUUCAAGCUGUACUAUACUAUGGCAGAAAAUUUUUGUACCUUUAGCAUUAGGUGUUUGUACCUUUUUACAACUAUGCAUUCGUUUCUUUAUCCUCUCCCAUGUAACACGUGUAAUUGCAUUGUCUUCAUCAAAGCACAUGUAUAAUUGAACAAAAUAAGCAUACAUCUCACUACCAUCCUUCAAAGAUUGAAAUUGGGUCUCACUUCUUCGAAGCUUCAAAUUUCAAAGAAAAUCCGGCAAAGUAGACAAGCUGAAUUUGGUCUCGAAGGGAUUGCUUUCCACAACAUGGAAUAGAAUAUGUACUUUUUCUGAUACCUCAUCUCAUUGCAUGUUCUAAUGAUGUUGUCUUUUGGUUCCAUUUGAAAGUUUAUGGGCAUCGAAAUCUCAGCUGGGUAGGAAAUACCGUCAUUAGGUAUUUUAAUUCUAUGAUUGUUUUUGGUUUUUGUUCCAAUUUUUCCUUAAUUUAGGAUUUAUACCACUUAGGUUAGAGAACAUCAUAGAAACAACCUCUCUGCAUUUCAAGGUAAGAGUAAAAUUACUAACAUGGGUUGUGGUAAAGGGUGGAAAUUUUCAUACUCAACCAGAAGUUUCGUGUUCGAGCCUCGGAUAUAGAGAAAAUUUUAUUGGGAGCGCCACCCCAGAAUGGUGCGAUUUGGAUUUAAUCGCAGAUCCAAUGUAGGCUCCGGACACCGAGUGGGAAACUGAUAAAAGGUAAGGGUAAAAUUAGUAUGUUAUAGUUGUAGACUUUAAUAUAUCAUUCAUAGUCUAUGAUUGCGGUUCUUUGAAUAGUCUUGUAAUCUUGUGUUCUCCUAAAAGUUUUCACCCUCACCAAAUUCUCGACAUUUUUCUUAUUUAAUGUCCUUUUCCUUGUUACGAUUUCAGGUUAUAUACUUUGCUUGGCUGGAGUAGUAUGGUUAGAUUCUUCUGCAUAGACUUUUAGAAAUCAAUAAGUCACACAAUUAUGAAUUAUUUUGAUAGACUAAGGCGAUAUCUUUGAUAUAGAAUUAGGGGCGUUGCGACUUUAAGAACAAGAUUAAAAUUAUUUUGAUGAAUGGUGGUUAGCAUGUACAUGAAUAUAGCCGGUUCGUACCUAUUUUACUCAUAUUCUAUAUUGUUCUUUCUUCUGCUAAUGGUUGAAUGCUUAAUCUCCAUUUUUUUUAUCUAAGGGUAAUAUUUAUAUCUAGGAUAAGUCUUUGUUGAGUUGAAAUCAAAUGUUUCUCAUCAAAAUAUGUGAAUCUUCGGAAGAUUUGAUUGAAGGAUUUUUGUGCUUGAUUUCUUCCCAGAUAUGAGGAAUUGUUCUCUGUCACUGGUGAAUUAUGUUGUAAAAAUUUUGAUAAAAAAAAGUACCUCAUUGUAGAUGGGUUAACUAACUCUAAAAAUUUACAACUACUAAAUUUCAUUUGCAGUGAAAAAUGACCUUCCACGAGCAAGGGAAACAAAGAGGUCGACAAACUACAUCUAUUAUUAAUCAUAGACCACUUGCACCUGCUAUUUCAUGGGACCAAAGAGCUUUAGGUGAACCACUUUCAUACAGUGAUAUUUUACGACUUCUCGAGUCCGCUGUAGAGCAGUUUGCUCCACCUAAUUUACAAGCUUAAUUGAUCGCGGAAAAGUCUCAUUUGCAGGUGGAAAAAACCAUCAAAAUGUUUGCAAAUGCAAAUGGAGACUUUUUAAGGUUCAAGUGAAGGAGGAUGGAAAGGACGGCAAACAAACUACUAUCUGAUCUACGAGUAGUUCAUAUUGAGAGGUUAUGAUGCACCAAACUCGGAGGGUUAUUGUUGUUGAGUUAAAUAUCGUCCAAUUUAUGGCAAGGGAAUGCGAUUGCUUUUGUGAAAUGUUUCAGCUAAGUCACUUCAUCCAUGAUUUUUUCUCCUUUUAAUGCUAGAGAAUCAAAUAGGGAAUAUGCCUAUUUACUACGGAGACGAAGAAUCAGUGAUACCUAGCCCUCCAUAUACCUGCAAUUUCACAAAAGAAUUGAAGACAAUGAGGAAGAUGAUCAUCAACAGAUCUUUGGAGCUCUCCUUUGUGUUAAAUAUAGUGUUCAGGGGGAUAAAAUGUAUUAUGAUUUAUUUUGGUUUGACUAAGGUAUUAGGAAAUAAUCAUAUAUGACUAUAUUUAUGUGAUUAUUAUAUGCUCGAUUGAGUUGUAUAAAUUUUAAUUUUUCAAGUGAUAAAAACAUGAAAUUUCCUUCCAAUCAUAUUUCUCAACUAUGUUGGGCCGUGCAUAGCACGAGCAAUCA